UACAUUUUUAUUACUGGAGAGGGGGUCUUAGGGUUAUAUUCUCCAAUUAGUCUUACCAUCCUUUGUAGAUAUAUAAAAUCUUCAAUGAAUGGAAACAAGCAAUCUAACUGAUGAAAGGAGGCGUUGAAGCUUGAGCGGUACUACUUCUAUUUAAAUCUCACUUCUUAGAUGGUCGCUCAUCUCUCAAAAUAGGAGAAAGAGAGAUCUCUACUAGGAGUCAGUUUGGGAGAGGAGAGCGACCCCAACCCCCCGGUGAUCCUGAGUAAUUACAAUCGAACAAACAAUUGUAGCUUUGUUCAUUCUCCAAGAACGGAUCGACCAACUAGACCUUGUCAUGGUGGAUGUCAACAUGCCAGAAAUAGACUCUUUGAGUUCAUCAAGUCUACUCAACUCAUCAAAGACACACCUAUUAUUGGUAUUAUAUUGCACUUGAUAUCGACACCGGAGGACCUAGCCGCCUUAUGAACUUUGCAAGACAAUGUCACAACCUAAAACUCUUUCUUCAAGUAUCCACAGGCAAGUCAAUUCCCAGAUAUAUAAAAAGUUAAUAGAAAAAUCGGUCACCGAUUUAUCAGUUCCGUUGAUCUUUAACUUGAAUGAUAUGUCUAUUGAUCAAUGAGAUCAGUUACAGGAUCGUUUCAUGUUGAAAACAGCGUAUGUUAAUGGACAACAAGGUAGAAUUAUGGAAAAGCCAUUCUGAAUUGGAGAUAGUAUAGCAAGGGAAAAUCUUCUCUCUGGAAUAUGCAGCAUCAACCAUAGUUUUAAAUCCUUGUUUCACCCUUGUUUUUUCAAUCCUCCAUUUAUAUAAUACAUUUUUAUAUUAUAUAUAAUAUUUAUUUUUUAAAUUUAGGUAUUUAUAAAUUCUUAUUUAAGUUCAUUAACAUUAUAAGUAGAAUAAUACUUUUAUGAAUUUGUAACAAAAUCUAAUGCUAUUUUUGAUGUUUGUUAUUUCAA